rnacentral:rRNA from 1 species
GACGAACGCUGGCGGCGUGCCUAACACAUGCAAGUCGAACGGGGCAGCAAUGCCCAGUGGCGAACGGGUGCGUAACACGUGAGGAACUUGUCCAUCGGCGGGGAGUAGCCGGCCCGAACGGCCGGGUAAUACCGCGUACGUCGGCGAGACCGCAUGGUCUUGCCGGGAAAGCAGCAAUGCACCGAUGGAGAGCCUCGCGGCCUAUCAGCUAGUUGGUGAGGUAAUGGCUCACCAAGGCGACGACGGGUAGCUGGUCUGAGAGGAUGAUCAGCCACAUUGGGACUGAGACACGGCCCAGACUCCUACGGGAGGCAGCAGU